rnacentral:lncRNA from 1 species
UGAAAUACGAUUAAAAAUACAUAUGUAAAUUUUAACGCCAAUAGGACAGAAAUCUACAUCGCGAUCAAAAUAUAACAAUAUACCUGAAAGUCUAGAUACGAUAACAGGCAUUUUUUCAUUAUCUUUUGUUAUUAUUUUUUUUUUCUGAAUACUUUGAAAUUUGGAAUACACAGAUAAGUAAGGGGGCAUAACCACUGACUUUGUUGGUAAUUUAUUUUUUACAAUGGAAAUUUUCUCAUUAAGUUC